rnacentral:lncRNA from 1 species
GCUAGUCCAGUCCCGACCAACUGUCGGAAUUCACUCGCCUAAAGGUAAUGGCAAAACCUUAGAGUAUCAAGGAAACUCUUAAGAAACCUCUCUAAGCUUUAAGGCUACUUCGCUUAGGAACCAGUCUUUUACGGGUAGACUCACACCUUAGAGUAUCAAGAGCACUCUUAAGAACCUCUAACUUUUACGGGUAAGUUAGUACCUUAGAGUAUCAAGGAACUCUUAAAAACCUCUCUAAGCUUUAAGGCUACUUCGCUUAGGAACCAGUCUUUUACGGGUAGACUCACACCUUAGAGUAUGAAGGGCACUCUUAAGAACCUCUAACUUUUACGGGUAAGUUAGUACCUUAGAGUAACAAGGAACUCUUAAAAACCUCUGAAAGCUUUAAAGGUAGGUAGACUCGACCUAAGAGUUUUCCCGGAAACUCUAUAAAACCAAACUAGAGCUUUAUGGUUGAGCUCAAAAACCUUCUCUCACACUUUGGUACUAUUGAGACAAACCUCUCAACCAAAGUGGACACACACAAG